UACGAAGGAUGCAAGCGUUAUCCGGAUUUAUUGGGUUUAAAGGGCGCGUAGGCGGUCUUAUAAGUCAGUGGUGAAAUCUCGUUGCUUAACAACGACCGUGCCAUUGAUACUGUAGGACUUGAGUACAGUUGCCGUUGGCGGAAUGUGUCAUGUAGCGGUGAAAUGCAUAGAUAUGACACAGAACACCGAUUGCGAAGGCAGCUGACGAAACUGUAACUGACGCUGAGGCUCGAAAGCGUGGGGAUCAAACAGG
rnacentral:rRNA from 1 species